rnacentral:lncRNA from 1 species
CCUCUGAGCACCACGGGUGCAAGUAGGAGAAGAAGCUGCAAAAGAAGGAAGAAGACAAAACUCGAGGAACUGCUUCGAACCCAUGAGUACUGACAUCGAACUGGACAGUUUCCGCAGGUGGGUUUGAGGAAGGCGAAGCAAGAAACGCAUCCCGAAAAAAGUUUUCAGCUACUAUACUUCAUAGCGCUUCUUAAUUCCGACAAGGGUUUUAGACUUUUUAGGGGUUCUUUCUUUUCCCUCCUCUGUCUGUCUGUCUGCGUCUUGCGGAAGAAGAAUGAGAAGAAGAGAAAGACACCCAAGAGAUUUUGAUUUUGUUCUCUUUUUACGUAACUUGGGCUUGAACAUAAAGGCCCAUUAUUUAUUUGUUCAGGCACAUUGCAUUUAUUUAGUAAUGUUGAGGAUUCUAUCGGUUUCCUGCAAGCUUCAAUGUAUCUCAAAUCGCAAAUCUAGCGGAAACAAUCAAUCGCAGUGUGGAAACGAAUCAAGCGAGAAAGUAAACGACACAAGAGUUUUGGUAACCCGGUGUUCACCGCACUCCUCCGAUGUGGAGAAGCCGCUAUACUCACCGGAGAGAGAAUUAGGUCUCUCAACCUUUCCAAUAGAUGAACUGAGAAGAGUACAAUCACAGGAGACCUUCUUCCUCUCUAUCUCUGUUACAAUCACCUAGAGAUGAGGUAUGAUUUAGGAAGAAGAAACAAGAAGAUGAGUUUAGCUAGAUACACAGAGAAACUCCUUCCCUCACUAGCUCUCUCUCACUCACGAUCUCUCUCUGUCUCUCUGUCUCGAGCUCUCUCUCUCCCGAGCACGAGCUCUUUCUCUGCUCACCGUUCUGUUACAGACCUCGACGUCGUAACCGUAUCUUCUCCGUCUCGUGAAGAUGACGAUGACUUGAUCCAGCUCAGAAAAAAUAUCUUCAGCUUAAGUGGUUAAUGACUCUCUUAACCCCACUUGAACUUAGCCAAAGCAUGCCCAACUCACGUGCCUUUCAUAAGACCAACAUUAGCUUGAAACCUUCUUCUUGGCUAAGAGACUUAGAAGAUAAGAUGACAUAUUUCUACAAUUUCCACCUUGUCAUCGAUCUUCUUCAUGGCUCUACCUUCCCUUGAGCUUUCUCCUCAUGUACUUGAGCAAACUUGCUCAUCUGCAACUCCCUACUGAUUCUUGCAUCUUCUCAGCUUCAAUACUUCCUGAAAUUAGUUUCCUCCAAGCAUCUCAACCUGUAUCCAUCUUGAUACAACCUGAAGACUUCUUUGCCAUUGCUCCUUUCAACCUCUUAACCGAAGCUCCACCUCAAUAGCUUGUCUUCAUACAAUCAAUCACCAUCAAUGAACUAGACAUGAAACUCACAAGCCAUGGCUGUGAUGUUAAUCACUUUUUCAUUCCUGAGCACUGUCUUCUUAAGUUGAUAAACCGCUUUAACACAGCUUUGUGUUAAGCUCAACUUCUUCAUUGAUUCUCUUUUGGCAGUUUCUAUAAAACCGGAAACUUGAGACGACCACCCAUCAGUAACUCAACACAAUCCAUAAGCUGCUCACUUGAUGCUUGACCUGUUACUGUGAUUUAAAGUCAUCAACCUUCUGCCAAAAUCUGAUGCCGAUGCUAGCUUGAAACUAUUUCAGAACUUGAAUCAUUUGCGGAACAUGAAUCACUUGCCUCAAACCAGAAGCUCCUUGAUUCAAAACCUUUGAAACCAAUCUCAACAAACAGUAGACACCAACUGCUUAACCUGAGAUUUUCCUCACAACCACUUGAUGAACACACUGACUUGAACACCACCCUGCACCGCUGCUGUCGCCAACAGAACACGCCGCUCAACACAACCCGGUUAAGAAGACUUUCGAUGUAGAGAAUCUCUGCUCAAUCUCUGUCCAAACAAAUUGUUGUGACCCUGCAACUUGAUUUCUCUGUAGACCCAUUUGAUUCACCUCAAAAGCACCUGAGAUCAGAAUCAAAAAUACUACUGAAAAUCUCUUGCAGAAACCAGAAUCAUACUUGUUUCCUCCCUGAAUCAACCCUGAUUCAACCAGCCUUCUGUCUAGCCAACUCAACCUUGAAACCUGAACUUGAAACGCUGUUGAAACUCCAACAGAUCACGCCUCAAAGCUCCACCUUGCUGUGAGUACUUUCAACCCUAGUUCCCUUUCCAAUUCCUUGAGUAAUUAAGACAGUACCAGCAGCUCAGAAACACUCCUUGUACCCUUUAACCAUAUCUCUCAUCAUAAGAUCCUGAUAUAUUCAAGAGAUACUUUCUUGAGAGAGAGAGAGAGAGAGAGAGAGAGAGAGAGUUGUUCAUGUAUGAUAUUAGAAAGGGAAGUUGUAUGAUAUGGACCUGAAAGAACUUCUUAGUUAGAUAACGGUACUUGACACUCACAAGCUCCCCUCUUUGCCAAUACGUAAAAGCAAUUACAAUCUGCCACAUAAACGAAGCAAGAACUUAAGGUGAGAAGAAGCAACCAACCACAGAAGAAGGCUAACAGGACCAAGAAGCAAGCAUGUUCCUUUAGAAAAGAAGGUUCAUGAUUUUUCUAAUUGCAAACAAGAUUGGACCAGUGAGAGCCAAGUAACAGAAAAGCUUGAAAAAUAACAGAUUCAGAAGAAUAUUUGUAAGUACCUCAUCACCUAUUCUUUUCUGCAUAACCCGAUUUCUCUUUAGUGUUUCUGCUGAAAUCAUUCUUGCAGCGAAAUAAUCCUCAAUCUGAAGCAUAACCAAGAACACAAUAAGGUUUUAUCAAACUCAUAUGAAUUACAGCGAGAUGAAGUAUCAAAUUCAUAUUUUUUUCCUUCAUCGUAAACACAGAAGAAAGAAAGAACAAUAAGUGAGUACUAGAAGACAACAACCUCGUCGCAGAGAGGUUCUAGCUCUAAACUAUCCACAGUAACUUUCCUUUCAACCUUCUCCACUGGAAGUACAGAUGUAGUAAACCUACCAUCCACCUGCAGAAAGGACGGAGGAUAAAAUUUUCAUUUAAUCAAUUUAGAUUUCAAGAAACGAGUGUCAUGCUUGUGUUGCAACUCACCCGUACUCCACCUUUCAACCCACACUUGCCUCGAAAGCAAUUCCAUGUAGCCGAAGAACUGUGAAUUAAAAGGGCAUCAUUAACUACAGUCUCAUAAACAAAAAAAAAAAGAAAGAAAAUUCAAAACCAAAGCCAAAAAUAAGAUUUGCAUACCAAUCAGCAGCAAUGAAAAGAGACAAACUUUUUUCUCCAGAGUCACCACCUUCACACUGACGUGCACAUAAAGAACAGUCUUAAGUAUAUAAACUCCAAAAGAAAAGGAGAAAAUUUAGCGUAAAUGCAACAUUAACAUAAUAGUACUCUCUCAAGUCUUGGCAUAUACCAAGAGGCUUGUGGAGAAGACAUAAAGAGAAAUGUUAUUACCUCGGGACAUAUCAAACCACUGUAUUGUCCAGAGGGACAGUUUUGAGCAUCAAUUCCAUUAUCAGCUAAUUUAAGCCUCAAGUUGGCUAAUCUAGAUUGCACAGCACCAUCUUCAGGAUCAACUACAAGUCACAAUACGUUGAGCAAAUUCAUCAACUAUAGAGGAGCAAUUGGAAACAGCAUUCACGACGUACCGGGACUUGGGGCUCUGGAGAUUGAAGUGUAGGGAGAUACACCAUUGGGCCUUUGGUGAUAAGGGCUGCUUUUGGACACGGGUCUCGAGGCUAGAACCGGACGAAAUCUUCUAGAAACGGAAGAGAGUUGCCUCUGAGCACCACGGGUGCAAGUAGGAGAAGAAGCUGCAAAAGAAGGAAGAAGACAAAACUCGAGGAACUGCUUCGAACCCAUGAGUACUGACAUCGAACUGGACAGUUUCCGCAGGUGGGUUUGAGGAAGGCGAAGCAAGAAACGCAUCCCGAAAAAAGUUUUCAGCUACUAUACUUCAUAGCGCUUCUUAAUUCCGACAAGGGUUUUAGACUUUUUAGGGGUUCUUUCUUUU